CUAGAUAAUUCCUCUGGUAUCCAAUCUAUAUUAGUUCUAUUCAAUUUUAGCCAUCUCAGUCCUGUCAUUUCAGCAACAGCUUUAGGAAAAUAAUCCUCCUGAAAAAGAAAAUUUUGAAUUCCUUUAUUACAAAGUCAUUGUCAUUUUACAAAACAAACUACUGAGCAAUAGUUCAUAGAAGGGUAGAUGAAAUGUUCAUUGGUUCUGUAGAACUAUAUCAUGUGAUGAAAUUGCCCAAUUGUCAAAGCAAAACAGUUACGUGACCAUAAAAAUUGCCUGGGAUGUCGUCGAAAGUGAUAGCAUUGCCUAGUUUGCGACAGCCUUUAAAGACCAGCAUUUCUAGCAAUAGAAGUUUGAAUGAAAUAUAUGAACACUUGCUGCCAAUUUCCUGAUGUACAGUGUAGUAAAUGGUUUCCAAAAUUUAGAAAACAUCUAGCCAAUCAUUAUUAUAAACUUUUGUAAAUUAUGUUCUGAAAUUGAAAUUACUAUGCUCUUUCAAUUGCUGAAUACUGUAAGGAUAACAAUUAAAAGAUAAGAAAGAAUUUAAAUAAAGUUUUAUUUUGAGUUUUAGGGGAUGAGUUACAUUAAACCCCAACUGCUAUCUCAACACUUCCUGGCUAAUACUUCAUUUGCAUAAUGAAUGGAAUUGUAUCCCAUUAAUUUUGGAUUUAAAAAGAAUUAAAAUAUUAACCAUCUCAGUCCUGU